AUUCUGAGUGUGUGAGACACCUUCAGGCUCUAUUCUGCCUUCUGCUUCUCCUUGGUGUUGGGUUCUGAGAUGGAUAAGCGCUGCCUACUGCUGCUACUGGGCCUCUCCUUGCUGUUGGGCUUCUUGCAAGCUCUACGUUGUCACCAGUGCUUUCGUGUCAGACCUGAUGGGAGUUGCCAACAUCGAAGAGCCAUCUGCACAGCCAAGGAAAAUGAGGAGUGCCUUCAGAGGAAGUACUAUAAUG